AGGUAUUGGAGGAGCCAUCAGAAACUCAAAUAUUCAGGAUGCAAGAUGGUCUUCAAACUCCCGGGGUGAGUAGCCAAAGGCUGUCUAUUGGAAGACAAUAUGGAAGCUAUACAUGAAUCAGAAGAGGGUUGACUGGCUUCAAUUUUACCAUUAACGUGGUUCAAAUUUAUGC